AAUACAAAGAACCCUGAAUUUGGACCCUGCAUGUCGAUCAGAAGGCGACAACGUGUUAAUUGGACCAAAUCAGAAAUGUGUCAUCUGUGGAGAGGAGUUCCCCUUUUCCAGAAUCAAGGAUCACAGCAAUAACUGCAUGAGGAGAUCCAGCAAUUGGUGAUGGUGUGACUCGACAUUUCUUUGCAACCAUCAUGUCAAAACUUCAGGCUGGUUUUGAGAUGAAGUUUG